rnacentral:misc_RNA from 1 species
CCCCUUCACAGCUUUGGCCUUAUCAAGUGCCAAGGGAACAAGCUCUUGCGCAUGUGAUAACCAGUCUUCGACUGACUGAAUAUCUUGUAUUACUUCUUUUCCUUUAUCUUCCACCAUGAUUUCUAUAUGGUAAGGAUCAGAUUGGUCAAGAGAGCUGCACCAACUGAAUUACAGAGAAAACCAACUCUCAAUUGAUAACCCAGCCAAGAAGAAAAGAGAAAGAAAUGAUACUUUCAUAGAAAAU